UCGGAGGCAGCAGUGGGGAAUUUUCCGCAAUGGGCGAAAGCCUGACGGAGCAAUACCGCGUGGAGGAUGACGGCCUUCGGGUUGUAAACUCCUUUUAAAUGGGAAGAUUAUGACGGUACCAUUUGAAUAAGCAUCGGCUAACUACGUGCCAGCAGCCGCGGUAAUACGUAGGAUGCAAGCGUUAUCCGGAAUUACUGGGCGUAAAGCGUGUGUAGGUGGUCUUUUAAGUUAAAUGUUAAAUCAACAGGCUCAACUUGUUGACCGCAUUUAAUACUGGGAGACUUGAGGAUGGAAGAGGUAAGCGGAACUUGUGGUGGAGCGGUGAAAUGCGUAGAUAUCACAAAGAACACCAAUGGCGAAGGCAGCUUACUGGGCCACUCCUGACACUGAGACACGAAAGCGUGGGGAGCGAACAGGAUUAGAUACCCGAGUAA
rnacentral:rRNA from 1 species